rnacentral:rRNA from 1 species
CGGCGGACGGGUGAGUAAUGCCUAGGAAUCUGCCUGGUAGUGGGGGACAACGUUUCGAAAGGAACGCUAAUACCGCAUACGUCCUACGGGAGAAAGCAGGGGACCUUCGGGCCUUGCGCUAUCAGAUGAGCCUAGGCCGGAUUAGCUAGUUGGUGAGGUAAUGGCUCACCAAGGCGACGAUCCGUAACUGGUCUGAGAGGAUGAUCAGUCACACUGGAACUGAGACACGGUCCAGACUCCUACGGGAGGCAGCAGGU